AUGAGAGGGAAAAGCUCCUUCCCGGCCAUGAUUCUUCCCGACUCAGUUCGCGGAUGGCAGUCGACCUGGUUUUACUGCAAAGACCAGUCGAUGCCAGGGCAGUCGACUGGCCUCCCUCAUUUCACCAUGGACCGAGUGAGGAAACCCUCCCCUUUGAAGGUGCUCCCGGAGGAGAAGGUGCAGGUGAGGGUGCUGGUAGAGCGAGUGGUCCAGCUUAUCCGUGACGGGGUCACUGGUAUGGAUCUCUUGGAGGUCUUCCUUCAGCGGCGCAUCCAGCCUCUUCAAGCCCGAGACCAUUCGAUGUGGAUGUAUUCGGGUUUUGAAGACUCCACUCGGAUUCACCCGGAGGAGGUUGAUGACGACACACUGGAGAAGUGGUUGUCGGGCAUGAUCGGAAACAAGGACAACCCCAAGGGAGCCAGGAGAGUUCCUCCACUCGACCAGUCUCAUGUACCAGAGAAGGUCCGAUUCUGA
rnacentral:rRNA from 1 species